AACGCACAUUGCGCCCCCUGGCAUUCCGGGGGGCAUGCCUGUCCGAGCGUCAUUUCUGCCCUCAAGCGCGGCUUGUGUGUUGGGUGUGGUCCCCCUGGAGCCAGGGGGACCUGCCCGAAAGGCAGCGGCGACGCCCCGCCUAGGUCCUCGAGCGAAUGGGGCUUUGUCACCCGCUCGGGAGGGGCCUGCGGGCGUUGGUCAUCCACCAUACAGUUUCCACGGUUGACCUCGGAUCAGGUAGGAGUUACCCGCUGAACUUAA
rnacentral:misc_RNA from 1 species